CUGUGAGUGGUUCUGUGGUUGAAAGUCGAUGCCAGUCGCGGGCGAAACGACCCACGUAAGGUUCCCUAAUCGGAACUGAGCAUGGCGCGGUUUAGAAGUAAGUCCUGACUCGGUGUGACCAAAGUGGUCAUGGCGAACUCAGGCAGGUGUGGGGUCAAAGACCAGGUCAGCACUCACAG
rnacentral:ncRNA from 1 species